rnacentral:rRNA from 1 species
GUUGACCUCUGAUCAGGUAGGGAUA